rnacentral:rRNA from 1 species
AUUGAACGCUGGCGGCCGGCUUAACCCAUGCAAGUCGAGCGAGCGGCGGACGGGUGCGUAAUGUCUGGGAAACUGCCUGAUGGAGGGCGAUAACUACUGGACACGGUAGCUACUACCGCAUACCAUCAGAUGUGCCCAGAUGGGAUUAGGUAGUAGGUGGGGUAAUGGCACACCUAGGCGCAGAUCCCUAGCUGGUCUGAAAGGCUGACCAGACACACUGGAACGUAGACACGGUCCAGACUCCUACGGGAGGCAGCAGUGGGGAAUAUUGCACAAUGGGCGCAAGCCGGAUGCAGCCAUGCCGCGUGUGUGAAGAAGGCCUUCGGGUUGUAAAGCACUUUCAGCGAGGAGGCGUUACUCGCAGAAGAAGCACCGGCUAACUCCGUGCCAGCAGCCGCGGUAAUUC